rnacentral:rRNA from 1 species
UACGUAGGGGGCAAGCGUUGUCCGGAUUUAUUGGGCGUAAAGAGCGUGUAGGCGGCCAGACAAGUCUGCUGUGAAAACUCGAGGCUCAACCUCGAGCUGUCGGUGGAAACUGUCUGGCUAGAGUCCGGAAGAGGAGAGUGGAAUUCCUGGUGUAGCGGUGAAAUGCGCAGAUAUCAGGAAGAACACCUAUGGCGAAGGGCAGCUCUCUGGGACGGUACUGACGCUGAGACGCGAAAGCGUGGGGAGCGAACAGG